UCGUAACAUGUCAUUAAAACUACGUGUAUUGCGUUCAGCGAACCCUUUGCCUUGCAACGAUCGCCGCUUUUCGGUACCUAAGAUAUUACAAGUCUGUUUGAUUGUAGUGCCAUCAACAUAAAGAGCCUUCGUCACUGAGCAUGAAAAAUGGAGAUCCAUGGAUAUAGAUCCAAUGUGACAACAACGUAUUAGCAAUAAUAAGAGCCGUCUGAUCUUUAAGUGGUACAGCUUCAAUGUAUUUUGAGAAAACGUCACCGAUAGGGAGAAAAUAUUGAAAACCGUGAUUAUCCUUAGGCAUAAAAGCGAUAUCAAUUGCGAUAAAUUGCAUUGGUGCUUCAGGAAUUGCCAUGGGAGUAAGGGUGCUUUAGGCGGAGACGAAUCACAUUUAGUCUGUUGACAAAUCAGACACUGAGAUACAAAAUUAUGUACAUAGUCAUACAUAUUUGGCCAAAAAAAUCUGUCUUCAAGCAGCGAGUAUGUUUUAUCUGUUACGAGAUGGGCCAUUUGAUGUAUCUCGGUCACUGUGAAUUUUCUUACUGAGACUGGCACUACAGGUCGAGCGGAUUUUGUAACAGUGUCAUUCUCGACCCGAAGUUGAUUUCUAACACGUCACUGAGUCUACCCUGAACUACAGUUUCUCCAUUUUCGAUGAGUCUUUUAGUUUUACUUAUCACAGGGUCUGUACUUUGCUCCUGUUUUAAUUGGUCAACAAAAGCGGAACUGUCACUAUUUGUAGCGAAAACCUAGUCGUCGGAGAGUGAGUUUGGUUGAUUUGGGCACAGAAUAGAAAUAUUUCUUUCUAUUCUGUGAUUUGGGUUGGCAGCUGGGUUACGAGACAAAAAAUCGGUUUUUACAUUGUCCUUUCCUCGAACGUUUUACACGGUAUGAUUAUAUUCCUCUAACUUAGCUAUCCAGGGUCUAGAUUUGCCGAGUGGUAAAGCCUGGUUUUCACUAAAGUCAUGAGGAUCGUAUCGAUCACAAGAAACAUAAUUUUUAAGUCCGUGUCGCUUAUGUUUCUUAAAAUCCAAAUGAAAACGCCAUCGUUAAAAUGUCUUAAGGAUCGUAAGAUUUGAAAAUCCUUUGUUCUCAUAAUGUCAUAAGCGUCAUAAGUAUCGUAAAAGUAGUGAGAUUUCUUAUGAUUUGAAAGGGCGCUCUUCUCCCCGCCACUUGUUUGCAUGAAUCCAGCAUGGCUGCUACGAAUCUGCGUUUGUUCCUGGCAGUGUAUAUUCUAAUCAAAAGAUGAAGGCAUCGAAGAAAUGCACGUUAAAAAAAUACGAGGAAAGAAAAGGAGCUCUGAGCAAGGUGUUUUGCCAACUUGUAGUUUUUCGAAGACUAGUCUUACAAGCAGCUGAAUUUCACGAUAGAUAGUCUUUCCGCGCGAGAUAGAUCCAUUUUGUAUACAGAAAAUAAAUUUCAUGUUAAAGGGCCUCUCCAGCCAAAAUUUUUUUUUUUAUUGACCAAAAAGUUAGCAUCUGGUGCGUGUAUUAUGGUAAAGUUGUUGUUUUUGCAAAACCGAGAAACCGAGAAGUGGGCGACCAAAAACAAAUUGAUGUUAGAGGGGAACGACUUUGUCGGUUUUAUUUCACUGCGUUUGCACCCAGGGGCAGUAAAAGACAAGAAACUCGAAACUGGGCAAGGUUUUAUAGCUCAAAAUCCGUCCACAGAAAAUAUAAUGAGCGUUUUGAAAAAAAACAAAAGAAAAAUUUACUUGAGCAAACGAAAACUAUAUUUACAAAGAAUUAUUUCCAAACAAAAGAAAUUAAAGCUUUGACAAAGUCAGAGUAAAGUCCAAUUUUUAACAUCACUUAAAAAGUUUUACUUCAAAUGAAAAAGGUUACAAAUCGUGAUCCAAAUGGUGGUCCAAAGACCAGAGAAUCAUUAAUUAUAAGAGGUUUCCAGGCCUAAUACGAAAUUCCACAAGUAUUCGUUGGCCAAAUGUAUGGAUCCAUUUCAAGGAGGCUUUUUGCGGUUUCAUAAGUUUGCGGCUACCCGUCAAAUUAUUGAAAUUUGAAACUGUUAAAAGACGUUUUCUACUGUUAUUUUUAAAACAAAUGCUCUAAAUAGAUUGAAGUUUAGAUUGGUGGUUGUUUUGCUUUCGACCAAUUGCCGUUGGCCUUUUAAAAACAGAAUUAAUUUGCAUAACAAUAGCUUUCGAUCAUUCAUGCGCCAUUUCUUCUCCUUCGAGGUGAUGCAAUACUUUUGAUACCCUAGUUUAUAUUGUACUUUUAAUUACAUUUGAUGUAACUUUCAACAAUCUCACUCUAUCUUGAUGAUUAUUUUGUGAAGUGAAGUAUUUUUAUGUUUCUAAUGUUUAAAAGACAAGAACUGAAAAAUAAAAUAAAAUGCAAAGGUUAGAGGCAAAAUAUGUACUAUAGGUACAACUGCACUUUGACUACCCACUUCUUCGUCUCGUGGUCAGAAGUUGAAUUGAAUUACAAACUUUUCAAUCUAGCCUGGUUUCUGAAACAAUCGAACGUUGGAAGUUCAGCCAGUUCAGCCAGUCAAAGGUAAUGUGUCCAGCUAUAGCAAGCGACUCUGCAGGGGUUUUUAGAAACAUGUGAUUUUUCAUGUCAUCGUCCCAGCCAUUACAGUCAUUCUGUUUAUCUAACCUGCUGCGAGGUUAGCUUUUCAUGUGGGCAGUUUUGCAUCCCAAGAAUACUAACCAAUCGCAAGCCGUUAUUUUGAUGGGUGGCUUGACAAGUUGGGUAUGCGCAGUCCUUUUAUAUGGACACCAGUGGCGUGGUGGCAGAGGGGGCCAGGGGAGCCAUGCCCCCCCCUAAAUAGGGGCGCAAAUGGAGAUAAGAAGGCGCCAAAAUUGUUUGCUUGUAAUAAUUGACUAGGAACAUCAAAAUUGAUCGUACACGGGUAGAACACUUCGCUGUAACUUGCUGUGAACAAUCUAAUAAAACGUGUGAUUCUACAAUCGAAGCACGUUGCGCUGCCAUGACCCAAUCAAUAUUUGUGUCAUAUUUUUUCGUGUUUUCAAGAUUUUACGUAUGCCAAACAUGUUUUCUAUUAGUUUGCACUCCGAACGCAAAAAAGUCUGAUGGUACGCCACAGAUCUUCGGGCCUAAGUACAUUGAAUACCCCUGGCAAUCAAUACAGCAACUUCUUAGUUAUUAACAUCGUUGUGAACCAAAGGUCGCCAUUUAUUUCUUUAUCCAACGCAUGAGUCCUCCCCUCCCAAAUUUUUUCUAAAAAUCAAAAAUCGAUGUUUUUCUGAGCACCGUCGAGCUGUCUAUUCUGAGCGGUGUAGUAAUUUGUUAAAUUUUAGCCUGGGAGAUGCAUUUUCCAUCCUAGAAGGCUUGAUUUCCAAAAUUUUCUUUAGCGUCGGACCCAACCAUGGUGGAUCCUCCUUUGUAACUAAACUUGAUCCUUAGCGCGCUGCCUCUGUCCGAUUCAAUAGUGUGAUUCAAUGCUUGAAACUUUCAAGUUUUUGAAAGACUACUACUAUUUAAAAACUAUUAAAGAAUAACAAACUUGAGGCCAUAUUUGUAUAUCAUACAUCAUGUAUACGAUGACACUAGGCUGAUAAAAUCGCCCACAAGCAGUGGCGAAAUGGACUAAGGUUACUUUUGGUUAAAAAAACUAAGGAACCCGAAACAAAAGUUUGCUCUACGUUAUUUUACUCUGAAGCUUGUAUUCUGGAUAUAAUAAACGAGUAGCCUGUAUGAAACAUUAGUGUAAUUGAAUAUAAUGUCUUUUGAUUAGUAUUUUAUGUUAUCCCUACAGUAUUUUUUCCUCGAAAAUAGGCCGACUGUGGAAAAUAAGCCAAUUCAAAGUAGCCUGAUAUUUUUCCGAACCACGAUCGGAAGGUCAAGUGUUAGGGUUACAUAAAUUAUCCAUUCAUAUUCGUAUUUUAAGUCAAAAUAUAUUCAUGCAACUUUGUAUUCAAGUUGCAAAAAUCGAUUUCCCUUCUAGAAACACAUGCUUUUACAUAACCACGAUAUAUAGAUAGGGCGCAAAAAUUGACUUGGCCACCCCAGGGAAAACAUAGCCACCCCGCCACUGAUGGACACAUUACCUUUAAGGAUUCACUCUCGUACAAUUACAGCUGAACAUCAGUUUCAAUUUGGAUGACUUCGUUCUUUGAAUUAUUUUGGUGUCUGUUUUGUUGAAACUUGUUUGCAGGAAUCAUUUUCACACAAUCACGCCGUGAGAAAUGCUGAUCACAGGUCACGCGCGAAUGUCUGUCUACUCAAGCAUGCGUAACAUAUUUUUUACUAUGCUUUUAUUGCCUGGGCAAUACUCUAUCGAUUCGACAGUUAUUGGAGGAGGAUGGCUUAAAAUGCAAACCCGAUCAACGUCAGUAGAACGUGGAAUUCGACGGUUUUCGAACCUUUUGUCUAAGUUUCGAAUCUUCCUUAGUUUCGAAAAAACUACAAGAAGUUGCCUGGUAGUGGUAGGAUUAGAUGUCUUUUCAAUUCCAGAAGGAUGAAAGCAUGAUCACUUGACGUUGCCCUUUCCAAAAGAAAAUCUGAAACAAGAGCAGACGAGGCUGGUAGUAUAUUCGCUACAAGGUACAACAGCCAUGCAGUUGUUUCACUUGGCAUUGCUACUGGCAACAAUCUUCGUUGCAUUUGGCACCUUUCUGCUUAGUUCCAAAACCAAAGAUGCAAACGGUUUAAAUCAUGUCCAACCGCUUGUUAAAAGGAUCCUUCCUGCAAGAAACCCGUGGGAUGGUGUCCCUGAAUUUGUGCUCUACUUGAGGCUAACAUCUGGUUUACGAUGGGAACAAGAGUAUAGAAAUGAUUUGAUUCGCACUAUGAACCUUUUCUUUCCUUAUGAGAGAGCCAAACUUUUAGUUGUGUUGGACAAUGAGAAAGAUGAAGACCAUUUGUUUGGUGACAAAAUAAAAGGAGAAUGGCCUUAUCCACGAGUAUGCUACAGAGACCCAAGUGCCGUCGAUGCUUACCGUGGGAGGGGCAAGGCCAGGAUGUUUUGGGACAUGAUGUAUCCCGAUGAAUGUACCAAUGUCUCUUACGUAGGGUACGUUGACACUGAUACAUUUUUUAGCACCUUAGUAACACCGCAGUUGCUAUUUGAAAAUGGAAAACCAAUCAUUAUCGCAAAGAUUGGCCAAGUUCCAUACCAAUGUUGGGCAGAGACAACAGAGUUGUUUCUUGGCAAAAAGGAAGUUAUGCAGUGCAUGUCCACUUUCCCUGUCAUGAUCAAAACAGAACAUAUGAAAGAAAUGAGGGAGUUUCUUGCAAGAAGCCAUAACACAGAUUUCGAUUUAGUUUUCAAGAAUUCCGCUGCAGGAAAUGAAACACUUUGUAUCUGUCAAUUUAGCAUAAUGUGCAAUUAUAUUUGGUACUACCACAGAGAUGCCUAUUCAUGGCGUUUGCAGAUGGUCCCAAAUGGUGAUUGGACAGGAGAACAUUUGUCUUCCAGUCAAGUGUCACCAGACUAUUAUCGAUCUAAUAUGCCACCAAAGAUGCUGGUACCGAUGCCAAGAUCAUCAAUCCACCUAAGGUACACAAUAACAAAUGGUAAAAUCUAUGACAAAAGGGAGCCUCCUAAAGAAAGCAUAGACAAUUUCAUCAAAGAGGGACUUUGCUAUUCAGCUGGAUUUGAUGUAUGUCCAGAAAACUGCAAAAGAUGGCUAAGGAAUAACACGCAUUACAAUCUUUUUUCCUUUGAAACUUAUCAAUGGCUUUGGGACAAAAGAUGCAAGGAGCAACAAGAUAAGCAUUAUAGAAACGUUAAAGAAUUAGUGAACUACUACGUGUCUUCAAAAAAGGAAAUAUUUGGACUGGCCUCUAUAGACAAACUGUGCACUUUAAUAUGAAAAUUCAUCCACCUUCCUUCAUUUGGUAAUUCGGACAAUCAGUUGUCAUAUCGGACAAAAUGUUCCAGCACUCGCUUAAAAGACCGGUUGUAGAAACGAUGAAUUUGUCAACGAAGCUUCAAGUUUCCGGACGAUCUUCAAAACUACAAUCAAUUUACUAAAUAUAUAUAUACAACAUACACAAUAAAUAUACAUCAUGUCCCUAAUAUAUACUAGAUUGUGUUUCGCACAGUAUAAAGUUUUUAAAUGGACUGAAAUGUUCGAGAGGAGUAUAAUAUUUUGCAAGUUAAAUCAUUCAAGAGGACUACUACUUUAAGUGGACUAAGAUGUUGAGAGGGCAAUAAUGUUUUAAGACGACUCCAACAUUUAAGAAGACUGCAAUAUUUAGAAGACUAAAAUAUUACAUAGGACUAAAAUAGUUAAGAGGGUUUUAAUAUUAAAGAUGGCAAAUACAGUAUUCGCCGACCACCACUUUAAGAAUUUUCUUUUUUGAAAGGACUUCAAAUAAACGAUUUCAUUUGUAUGCGCCAGUAGUCGCUUUAAAUCAAAUGCUAUAGAGACAUGUAAGCUUUUUGUGGCUGGCUAAUUGUUUUUCACAUUUUAUAUUGUAAAUGGGAUGAGCCCAAAGACCCUUUUUUAAAAUCUGCUUUUAAAUCUGUAUAUCAUUAUAGUACUUCGAAUUAAGAAGUUUUAAACUAAGCAGCUCACUUGGAGCGAUAUCUGCGAAGUCCUUCAUAAGCAUUUAAGUAUUUAUUUUCUUAAGACGUUUAGCUUUCAAUCUUCUUGCUUUGGUCAAUAUAAGGUUUGAAAAUGCCCUAUCAGCCCUCCACGAUGUCAAACUAAUGAGAGCGCAAUUUUAACCGGCUUAGGAAAUGAAGAAUCUGAUAAAAAGCCAGGUCGUACCUGAUACUUUUCAAUAACCCACCAAUUAAAUUUUGAAAAUUCUAGGAAAGGGUGGCUAUAUAUCUGGUAUUUUCUGAUUAUAGAAAUACCUUUAGAAAUAGUGCAACCCUUUUACCUAAAUGUUGAAAUAACCCUUUCCAUGGCAUAAGUAAAAUCAUCUGCUGUCGGCCUUGUUAUAGAAUCAUCAUAUAUGAUAUCAUCAUCUUCUUGGCUGCCAUUUAGCACCUUAUGUGCAAAGAGGCUGCUUUUAGCACUUUGUUACAUCAUUUGAACAAUCAAUGGCAUAUGUGUUAAUUUCACAUUGCACUUACAUUUUUAAUUAUUUAGGCACGCUAGCCCCGUCACUCCACGAGAACUGCUUUUCAGGGGGACGUGACAAAAACAUCAAUAAGUAAAAAGAUAGAUACUACGACACAGUAGCAGAUUCAGGGUGUCGCACAGGUCACAUGGAAGACCGUCAGAUUUUCAGAAUUUAGUUUUCGUCUUCAGUCAUUGAAAUUAGGCAAUCAUGUUUACCACAACCUUUUUAUUUUUUUCCUUACAGAUAAUACAUUCACCUCUCUUUACACAAUAAACACAGGACCAACAGGGUCGAUCGCACCUCAUGUACAAUGCUAUGAUUUUAUUCAAUAUAGAAGAAAUUCAUAAAACAUCCUAGACCGUGAACAGUAUGAUUUUUAAGCAUGUCGCCCGUGCCGCACAAAUUUGCAGGGCUCUUUGUUAUGCAAAUAUUUUACUAAAUCUCACCAAUCAAAAUUCGAGUUUUCACAUAUUUGUGCGGCACUGAAAGUGUGUAAAUACUAUGUUAGAUUAUUGUGCCGCACAACUGCUGGCAAGGGAAGGGAAGAAAGUGGAUGAGGUUAGAAAUUGUGAAAAAGAAGAUUUCUAAUUUUCUUUAUCUAUACGAAAGAGGUGCACAGGAGGUGUACACUUCUGAAUCUCAAGAUAUUUUGUUUCAUCCGCGUGUUGGAUUUGCUGGGAAAUUUGGAAAACCUUUUAAAGGGGAAAAUGUUUGACUGGACAAUUUGAACGUUUCAGGGCCCCAGUCCCGUCGCCACUCUCAAAACUACCACAAGGCCUGCGAACCUCGUUGGUGUCGCAACUUCCGCUCCUAAAGAGAAGGGCGUCCAAAUGAGGCCUUUCAUCGACCAAAGUGUAUCAGUCUUGCUUAGCGGGAAAAAUCGCAGUUAGAAAGCAAACGCUUACAAGACAAAUAAUAUUCUAGACCAAAAUUCAAGAUGACUUGUUUGAACGAGGUGAAAUUGUUUCUUUUAUCUAUAGUGCAGAGGCGGAUCCAGAGUGAGUUCCUUGAUGCACAGAACUCAGUCAGUUUUCCAACAUACAGCUAAAAAUAGUGUUGCCUGAAACAAGUAAUAUUUAAAUUAAAAAAUUGAAACCUAAAAAGUUUUAUCACAGUCUCUUCAAAAUCUUAAAAUUGCCAGUUUCUUCUCUGUCGUGAUUUGAAACGAUUUUCCGAUUAGAGGACAACAGCAGUCUAGAACUCGGAAAUAAACGUUUUGUGCCUCGGAAGUGAAUGAAUUGAAACAAUGAAAUUUUUGUUUGGAACACGGAUGGAACUCAGUCAAAACAGCAUCUGGAACUCGGAAAUGAUACCAUAUUUGUAAGAGCUGUACAAUGGCCCGUAGUUGAUUGACUACCGAUUGUUUUUGUUCUAUUGUGGAACUGAAAAACAUUGAAUUCGAAAUGGCGACUGCAGAUGUCUUAGACUCACGACCAUCGCAUCAUUCUAGCAGAUUAUUAAGCGUUUGGGAUAAAACCAGGCGUUUAAGGAUUUAUAAAAGUGAUUAGUCCUUCAAAGUUCUUCACAUUCUUGACAGGGAUUUGUUAGACUUUGCUCCUAGAAGAAUGGACUAGAUUAAUCACAGCCAGGCUUGUUCCAAGAAAUGAAAUAACUGCCAACGCGCCCUUCCAUUGAAUAUCAGUAGGUGAUAUUUGUUACACUGAUGGAUGUUUUGAAUCUUUCAAGACUUGCAUUCAAUCUCUUGGUGUCUCAACAGAAAUCCUUGUUUGUGUAGAAACAGUUAGUUAAAGUACAGACAGACAAAGGGGCCUGCGGAAACUUAUUAAGGACUUUGUUGGACGUGAUCUAUCCAUUUAAUGUUUGUUAAAGAUCAGACUUGUAUCUAGUGUCUUUCCUUUAUGUUGGACCAGAACUAGCUUGUUGGAAACAGAUGGCUCAAAUGAGAUUCACCUGAAGUUUAUUUCUCUUAGUCUUUUUCAAGGAGAAAUAUACAGCUUCACAAGAUAAUUUUUUUCUUAACUUUCUUUAGAGUUGGUAAACGUACACUACUAUACUAGCUAUACUAAAGCUAACUAAAACCAACUAAUUAUAUCAACAAUAACCGUAUUUAACAACGCAACAAUAAGAUGCAUCAAUGUACAGUAAGUUCCCCGUCAUUUUAUAUAGCCCACUUAUCCUAUAAAUGGUUUACAAAUGCGGCAUGAGUAAGAAAUCGCAAACAUAGUUUUGAUACUUGCUUUAAACGUUUUUAUAUUUGAGGUUGAGGUUUUUUCUAUGGGAAUUGAGUUCCAUACUUCUUGACAUCUGUAAGAUACAGUGUCUAAUUCGCAUGCUAUGCUAUGCUAUGGUUAUUUCGAAGGCCAUGUUGCUAUCAUAGAUUCUAGAAGUUCCACGUAAAGUUUGUCUCAUAUUCUUUAUAGAAAUAUAGGAGGCUCUCUUAGUGAGUUGGAAUAAAAAAUUUUUCAGGAAAAAGAAAAGCGUCUUGCAUAUUUCUGAUAGUGGAUCAGAAACUGCAAUCCAGGCCAAGCAGUGCUUGAAUUUUUAUAAACAAAAGAAUAAAAAAAAAAGCCUAAUGAAGAAUUCUAAAUUUUCUUCAAAACUAGUCUUUUUAACCUAGAAAGGCUUUAUUAAACAUUUAAAUAUGACCCCCGAGCUCUUCUUUUUAUAUGGCAUGCAUACCUUAAUUCGCAUUUUUGUUGGAUCCAAUAAAAAAUUUAUCUCAAUUUUCAAAAAUCCUUAAAAAAUGCCCUUGUCUUUUACAAUUGUUUAUCUAAUUUAUCUCACUUCUUUCGUCUAGCUUUACCAAUGUAGAGGAGUUGAUUCCAUAAUUUUUUGUCCCUUUGGUGCAAAAGCGACAUCAAAGAGACUUUAUCAGAAAAUCAAAGCACUCUUCUCUCACUGAUUUUAGUUUCUGUACCGAUGCGCCAAGCAUUAAGGACAGCUUUCGAAAUUAAAAGAGGAAGCAUAAAAAAUCAAGAAUGCAUUAACUGAGGAAGACAAUAUGUAGGAGAACAAUGAACAAUGAGCAAAUUAUUAGCUUACGGAGUUAGAGGCUGUAAGUACAUAGAGACUGAUAUGAAGCAAGAGAAAGAAGUAGCAAGAGAAAUCGCUGCUAUUAUCUUUGACGGAGUGCGACAUAUCACUUUGCAAAGCGAACCUUUUCAUGAACACAUCCUUAAUCUAGGAAUAGUCUCUUGAAAUGAUAACGCUUAUCGCCAAGUUCCAUGCACCACUCAAAAAGUGGCUCGACAGCAAAUCUUAAAACAUUUCCUAGCUAAGCCUUGAUAUUCAGAACCAGAUGACAGGUAUAAUUACUGAUUAUACAUGGUAAAAUUCACGAGGAAAUGCAUUGUGGCGCAGCGUCAAGGCAUGCUAGUAAUUCGCCACACGCACUGUAAAAUUUGACCUAAAACAUUUUUUAAGCAGUAUUAUUUUUGUAAAAAAACAUUUUUUGAGGAGUAAUUCAAAUCUGUAACACCUAUGAUCAACUAAUUUUUACCCUGAAAGGUUAUUACCCUGAAAGAAAUUUAUUAAACUUCGUAUCUCUCUUUCUAAAGAUCAUCUUCUAUUAAAAUUAGCCCUUUGCUAGCAAGUUUUGUUUGCAGAACUUCUAGUUUUCAGGUAUGCCGAAUUCUGACCGCGCUCCCUGUUGAAUUGAAGUGAAUGCUUGUAUCAACACUGGCUUAACUAAAUUAAAAUAAACAAUAAUAGCAUGACUUUUUCCAUCAACAGAUCUUACUUUUGAUGACAUAGCUAGUUACCGAAGCAUUACCAUUGACAUAGUUACUGAAAAAUGCCAAAGGAAUGUUAUUUUUUCAUUUAAAAUACCUUUUUACACAAUAAGAACCCGCUUAAAUGUGGCAUCUUGUUGGCAGAGCCGUCGGCAUUGAAACAAGAGCAGGCGAGGCUGGUAGUAUAUUCGCUACAAGGUACAACAGCCAUGCAGUUGUUUCACUUGGCAUUGCUACUGGCAACAAUCUUCGUUGCAUUUGGUAUCUUUCUGCUUAGUUCCAAAACCAAAGAUGCAAACGAUUUAAAUCAUGUCCAACCGCUUGUUAAAAGGAUCCUUCCUGCAAGAAACCCGUGGGAUGGUGUCCCUGAAUUUGUGCUCUACUUGAGGCUAACAUCUGGUUUACGAUGGGAACAAGAGUAUAGAAAUGAUUUGAUUCGCACUAUGAACCUUUUCUUUCCUUAUGAGAGAGCCAAACUUUUAGUUGUGUUGGACAAUGAGAAAGAGGAAGACCAUUUAUUUGGUGACAAAAUAAAAGGAGAAUGGCCUUAUCCACGAUUAUGCUACAGAGACCCAAGUACCGUCGAUGCUUACCGUGGGAGGGGCAAGGCCAGGAUGUUUUGGGACAUGAUGUAUCCCGAUGAAUGUACCAAUGUCUCUUACGUAGGGUACGUUGACACUGAUACAUUUUUCAGCACCUUAGUAACACCGCAGUUGCUAUUUGAAAAUGGAAAACCAAUCAUUAUCGCAAAGAUUGGCCAAGUUCCAUACCAAUGUUGGGCAGAGACAACAGAGUUGUUUCUUGGCAAAAAGGAAGUUAUGCAGUGCAUGUCAACUUUCCCUGUCAUGAUCAAAACAGAACAUAUGAAAGAAAUGAGGGAGUUUCUUGCAAGAAGCCAUAACACAGAUUUCGAUUUAGUUUUCAAGAAUUCCGCUGCAGGAAAUGAAACACUUUGUAUCUGUCAAUUUAGCAUAAUGUGCAAUUAUAUUUGGUACUACCACAGAGAUGCCUAUUCAUGGCGUUUGCAGAUGGUCCCAAAUGGUGAUUGGACAGGAGAACAUUUGUCUGCCAGUCAAGUGUCACCAGACUAUUAUCGAUCUAAUAUGCCACCAGAGAUGCUGGUACCGAUGCCAAGAUCGUCAAUCCACCUAAGGUACACAAUAACAAAUGGUAAAAUCUAUGACAAAAUGGAGCCUCCUAAAGAAAGCAUAGACAAUUUCAUCAAAGAGGGACUUUGCUAUUCAGCUGGAUUUGAUGUAUGUCCAGAAAACUGCAAAAGAUGGCUAAGGAAUAACACGCAUUACAAUCUUUUUUCCUUUGAAACUUAUCAAUGGCUUUGGGACAAAAGAUGCAAGGAGCAACAAGAUAAGCAUUAUAGAAACGUUAAAGAAUUAGUGAACUACUACGUGUCUUCAAAAAAGGAAAUAUUUGGACUGGCCUCUAUAGACAAACUGUGCACUUUAAUAUGAAAAUUCAUCCACCUUCCUUCAUUUGGUAAUUCGGACAAUCAGUUGUCAUAUCGGACAAAAUGUUCCAGCACUCGCUUAAAAGACCGGUUGUAGAAACGAUGAAUUUGUCAACGAAGCUUUCCGGACGAUCCUCAAAACUACAAGCAAUUUACUAAAUAUAUAUAUAUACAACAUACACAAUAAAUAUACAUCAUGUCCCUAAUAUAUACUAGAUUGUGUUUCGUACAAUAUAAAAUUUUUAAAUGGACUGAAAUGUUCGAGAGGAGUAUAAUAUUUUGUAAGUUAAAUCAUUCAAGAGGACUACUACUUUAAGUGGACUAAGAUGUUGAGAGGGCAAUAAUGUUUUAGGACGACUCCAACAUUCAAGAAGAUUGCAAUAUUUAGAAGACUAAAAUAUUACAGAGGACUAAAAUAGUUGAGAGGAUUUUAAUAUUAAAGAUGGCAAAUACAGUAUUCGCCGACCACCACUUUCAGAAUGUUCUUUUUUGAAAGGACUUCAAAUAAACGAUUUCAUUUGUAUGCGCCAGUAGUCGCUUUAAAUCAAAUGCUAUAGAGACAUGUAAGCUUUUUGUGGCUGGCUAAUUGUUUUUCACAUUUUAUAUUGUAAAUGGGAUGAGCCCAAAGACCCUUUUUUAAAAUCUGCUUUUAAAUCUGUAUAUCAUUAUAGAGGACUACUACUUUAAAGAGGCAGAUAUCUCUUUAAAGAGAACACCCUCUCUGACAUGAUCAGUAAAACACCUCCAUGUUGAUUUCGAUCAAACCUGACGGGUUUUGAAAAGCCAUCUAGUAAAAACUGACUGGUUGUAAAUGUUUCAUCAAAUUUUGUCUCUGCAAUAGCAAAUAUAUAAACAUUAUUAGCUACAAGGGGUCUUAGAAAUUCAAAUUUGUUUCUGAUUAAGUUAAUAUUUAGGUAGGCAAUUUUUAGGCCGUUGUGGUUUUUCGUCCUGAUAGCUUCCAAAGAACUGUCAUCAGAGGCUUCAUUCACAGAUUCGUAAGGUUGUGCAUUAGUUCAAUUGUUUCCAUAGUUAAUAUUAUCAAAAUGUGAGUCAGACGGGGAAGACGAGGGAAGGACGACGGAAGGACACCGCCACAGGGCAGCCCGGCCCAUUUUUACAACGAUUCACUUCCAAACAAGAAGAAUCAAGUUUUCAAUGGCGUCUAUCAAAUCCAGAUUUGCAGGUCGUUGAAAAUCUUUGGCUUCGCAAGAAAAACAAUAUGCACCACGAUUUAAAUGGUUCUUUAGGAACCAAAUAAUCGUUAAAUAAACGAAUUGUUCAGGUUUGACACGAAAUUCCACAAUAAUCCAGUGGCAAAUUACAUCCUACGAACUCAAGAAGGCUAAAAGUGGUUUCAAAAGCUUGCAGCUUACGUCAAAAUGCUACAAAUUGAAACUUUAAAAGACGUUUCUUAUUGUAAUUUUUUUAAAAAGUGCUCUAAAAGAUCGAAGUUUUAAUUGGUGAUUGUUUCACCUC